rnacentral:rRNA from 1 species
AACGAACGCUGGCGGCAGGCUUAACACAUGCAAGUCGCGCGCCUCGCAAGGGGAGCGGCGGACGGGUGAGUAACGCGUAGGAAUGUGUCUAGAGGUGGGGGACAACCCCGGGAAACUGGGGCUAAUACCGCAUAUGUCCUGAGGGACAAAGCAGUGAUGCGCCUUUGGAGCAGCCUGCGUCCGAUUAGGUAGUUGGUGGGGUAAUGGCCUACCAAGCCUGCGAUCGGUAGCUGGUCUGAGAGGAUGAUCAGCCACACUGGGACUGAGACACGGCCCAGACUCCUACGGGAGGCAGCAGUGGGGAAUAUUGGACAAUGGGCGCAAGCCUGAUCCAGCAAUGCCGCGUGGGUGAAGAAGGUCUUCGGAUCGUAAAGCCCUUUCGACAGGGACGAUGAUGACGGUACCUGUAGAAGAAGCCCCGGCUAACUUCGUGCCAGCAGCCGCCGUAAGAC